rnacentral:pre_miRNA from 10 species
ACUUUCGGUUAUCUAGCUUUAUGAAGAAUGUACAUCACUCAUACAGCUAGAUAACCAAAGAU